UACGUAGGGUGCGAGCGUUGUCCGGAAUUAUUGGGCGUAAAGAGCUUGUUGGCGGUCUGUCGCGUCUGCUGUGAAAAUCCGGGGCUCAACCCCGGACUUGCAGUGGGUACGGGCAGACUAGAGUGUGGUAGGGGAGACUGGAAUUCCUGGUGUAGCGGUGAAAUGCGCAGAUAUCAGGAGGAACACCGAUGGCGAAGGCAGGUCUCUGGGCCACUACUGACGCUGAGAAGCGAAAGCAUGGGGAGCGAACAGG
rnacentral:rRNA from 1 species